UACGUAGGGUGCAGCGUUAAUCGGAAUUACUGGGCGUAAAGCGUGCGCAGGCGGUUCGUUGUGUCGGCGGUGAAAGCCCCGGGCUCAACCUGGGAAUGGCCGUUGAAACUGGCGAACUGGGAGUGUGGCAGAGGGGGGUGGAAUUCCGCGUGUAGCAGUGAAAUGCGUAGAGAUGCGGAGGAACACCGAUGGCGAAGGCGGUUCUCUGGGCCUUACCUGACGCUGAGGAGCGAAAGCGUGGGGAGCGAACAGG
rnacentral:rRNA from 1 species